ensembl:snoRNA small nucleolar RNA, H/ACA box 36A
UUCCAAAGUGUUGAGUUCAGUUCAGGGCAGCUUCCCUGUUCAGUUAAUUAAACUUUGGAACAUUAAAAUUGGCUGGGGAAGAUGCUCAGAUAGAAAGUAUUAAUCUGUUAAUCUACUUCCUGGCCUACAAAA